rnacentral:misc_RNA from 1 species
GAGAAUUGUACCAAAAACAAUAUGGACAAUCCAUCCAUAUCCCACCUUGUGUGCACCCAUUGAAACCAUGCUUUGGGAGGUUUCUCCUCUGUUGGAAUUGGAGAUACUCAAGCCUCCCAAGGUUUUUGUUCUCGCAACACUUUUUUUUUUUUUUUUUCCUGAAAAAUCAAACAUAAUAAUAAUAAAUA